rnacentral:rRNA from 1 species
UACGGAAGGCAGCAGUGGGGAAUAUUGCACAAUGGGCGCAAAGCCUGAUGCAGCCAUGCCGCGUGUAUGAAGAAGGCCUUCGGGUUGUAAAGUACUUUCAGUCGUGAAGGAAGGUGUUAAGGUUAAUAACCUUAGCAAUUGACGUUAGCGACAGAAGAAGCACCGGCUAACUCCGUGCCAGCAGCCGCGGUAAUACGGAGGGUGCGAGCGUUAAUCGGAAUUACUGGGCGUAAAGGGCACGCAGGCGGUUAAUUAAGUUGGAUGUGAAAUCCCCGGGCUUAACCUGGGAAUGGCAUUCAAGACUGGUUAGCUAGAGUCUUGUAGAGGGGGUAGAAUUCCGAUGUGUAGCGGUGAAAUGCGUAGAGAUGUGGAGGAAUACCGGUGGCGAAGGCGGCCCCUGGACAAAGGCUGACGCUCAUGUGCGAAAGCGUGGGGAGCAAA